AAUGCCACAUUCCGGGAACAAUAUCUGGCUUUAUACAACAUUGUGCACCAUAAGGGUGAUACUAUCACCAAGGUAAUGGAAUCUUUUCCGGCCAAUGUGACAUUCAGAAGAGAUUUAAUUGGACCCAGACUCCAAUCAUGGAACAUCCUGCUCCAGAGGUUGUCCAUGGUGCAAUUGUUACAUGGGUCUGAUAUAUUCCGAUGGAACCUCCAUGGGAAUGGAAAAUUCUCGGUGGAGUCAAUGUAUAGAGCGUUAAUCCAGUCUGAUGUGCCAGUUGAUAAUAAUAAGAAGAUCUGA
rnacentral:rRNA from 1 species